UACGAAGGGGGCUAGCGUUGCUCGGAAUCACUGGGCGUAAAGCGUGCGUAGGCGGCUGCGCAAGUCGGUUGUGAAACCCCGGGGCUCAACCCCGGAACUGCAUCCGAUACUGCGUGGCUAGAGGUAGGUAGGGGAGAUCGGAAUUCCUGGUGUAGCGGUGAAAUGCGCAGAUAUCAGGAGGAACACCGGUGGCGAAGGCGGAUCUCUGGGCCUUACCUGACGCUCAGGUGCGAAAGCGUGGGGAGCAAACAGG
rnacentral:rRNA from 1 species